ACCCUCAUCAGUCAGAUGUAGAGUUUAAUUUUGGAGAGGCAGAUAAAGGAUCCAGUUCUGUUGAUGCAGUGAUUGAGUCUCUUCUUGAAGAUGAACAUGCAGGCGAUCACCCUCAUCAGUCGGAUGUAGAGUUUAUUGACGCAGAAUCAGAUAAAGGAUCUGGUUCUGUUGAUGCAGUGAUUGAGUCUUACCUUGGAGAUGCAUAUGCAGGUGACCACCCUCAUCAGUCGGAUGUAGAGUUUAUUGACGCAGAAUCAGAUAAAGGAUCUGGUUCUGUUGAUGCGGUGAUUGCGUCUUACCUUGGAGAUGCA